rnacentral:lncRNA from 1 species
AUAAAACCAUAUUACUAGAAUAUGACAUAGUAGUCUGGAGAUCUUAUUGAUAGUAGUAGGCUUGAGUGAAGGAUUUGUCAAGGUCCUUGUUUAAUCAUCGAUGAGAUUAAGAAACAUAUCAAAGAUGAGAUGUGGUAUCUGCUGAUGGCAUUGAUAAGACUGCCAAAAAAAAAAAAUGAUUAAUAAAUUUAUAUGAUUACCUAUCAAAAAAAGAACAUUCAUAAGAUUGCAAAGGGAAUAAAAGUGCAAAAGAUAACAUUAGGAGAUUUCUCUAGACUCUCCACGCACAAGCUUUUUUUUUUUUGACGUCUCGUGAUCACAAAUGUCUCUGGCUGGGGGCUGGGGAGUGGAAAAUUUCUUGAAUUAUUAGCGAGAAGAAAAUAUACCCAUCACUGCAUACAUUUUGAUUCUAUAAGAUAAUGAUUAUCUCUAUCACGAAACAAAGGAGAAAGAUAACAUGCAGAUAAUGUGGAAGGAUUGGAUUACCUUUUGAUGUUCUUUACCUCGUAAUGGAAGCUCUGCGGACAGAUGAUCAGGAUCAAUUUUAGCAGGUGCCUAAUGCUUCAAACUGACAUCAUAAAAUGCUCCCUUAAAACUAGCUUGUGGUUUAUACACUUCAACCUUUUCAAAGAGCUGUACACCACAUACAAAGGUGAUAAUAUGCCUUGAACUACUUUUAAUGAUGCAGAUAUAUAUGAUGAUUUGAUAUCUCGGAGGGUUCACUUUAGUGAUGCUGAGAAGUUUGCAGAACUUUGCCCUUGCCCUUGUAAUAGUGCUUUGUGUUUUUAUAGUUAAAGAUGUGAAUAUUUGGG